ACGUAUGGAGCAAGCGUUAUCCGGAUUUACUGGGUGUAAAGGGAGCGUAGGUGGCCAUGCAAGUCAGAAGUGAAAAUCCGGGGCUCAACCCCGGAACUGCUUUUGAAACUGUGAGGCUAGAGUGCAGGAGGGGUGAGUGGAAUUCCUAGUGUAGCGGUGAAAUGCGUAGAUAUUAGGAGGAACACCAGUGGCGAAGGCGGCUCACUGGACUGUAACUGACACUGAGGCUCGAAAGCGUGGGGAGCAAACAG
rnacentral:rRNA from 1 species